AUACGAAGGGGGCUAGCGUUGUUCGGAAUCACUGGGCGUAAAGCGCACGUAGGUGGACUAAUUAGUUGAGGGUGAAAUCCCGGGGCUCAACCUCGGAACUGCCUUCAAUACUGUUAGUCUUGAGUCCGAGAGAGGUGAGUGGAAUUCCUAGUGUAGAGGUGAAAUUCGUAGAUAUUAGGAAGAACACCAGUGGCGAAGGCGGCUCACUGGCUCGGUACUGACGCUGAGGUGCGAAAGCGUGGGGAGCAAACAGGAUUAGAAACCCUAGUAGUCC
rnacentral:rRNA from 1 species